UAUUCAUCACGACCUAGAAAUGACACACACACACACACACACAUAUAUGUAUUUAUAAUACUCAUAAUAAAAUAGCUGGGAAUUCUUUGUUGGGACCCAACCCCAUGAUUCAUCUGGCCAACAUGGCUCCAUGCUGAGCUGUUUUGAUGGGCCUGUGAGUGUGCCUGCCUGCAUGAUGCUUCCACAGCUCUGGCAGCAAAUAGACAAGACAAACGCUCCGAGACGGCACCACAGCAGUGAGUGGGGUCGCCAUGCGAGAGCUGUUUGUGCUCCACUCAGGGUCUCGCACCAGAGGUCUUCAGUGAGAAGCCUUCAUUCUCACUCCACAGGCUCUGAGCUCUGUCAGCCCCCUCUGCUCUGUUCUGCUCUGCUCUGUCCUGCCUCUGACGCAGGUCCCCUUCCUCUGAGCCGGGGUGGGCCAUUGUUCAGAUGACCCCACCGGCCCUAUCUCUCUCUCCCAGUCACUUCCUGCUUCCUCCCGCGCAGGAAGUGCUGCGCCGCACGGCUCUCUGCUCUCCCCCUCUCACACUCCAGACAUAAAUCACAACUUUGCUGCACAUGCUUUUUUUUUUUUUUUCUGAGAGAGAUGUCCUUCUCUCGCUUUUAUUUAAAAAAAUAACUCUCACAAAACUGGGUUUGGUCUGAGCCAACCAGGUGUGUUCCAACCGUGGUGGCCCAUGUACAGUAUACGUAUGGUUUCUACCCUAUCAAAGAGUCUGUGGUAAAACAAACAAAAAACAAAUGACUUGAGCGAGUCACUAUGUCAUUGUGGUGCAGAAGAAGCAGUCUGGCCCAGCGCAGGAUCUUAUCUGUUCUAGAACCAGCUGCACAUGUGAUAUAUCCAUCUGCACUAUAUUAGGGACAAUUAUUAGUUACUUUGAUUAAACCUAGUUUUACCAAUUUUGUUGGGAUUACAGAAUGACAACUGAUCAUCCUGGACACCAUGUAACUGAUUCGUUGGUUACAAAUACCACAGUCUCCAUAAUAGUUUCCCACUAAAGCUUCGAUAGCUUGGGAGCAACUUCGUUACAAUGCAUGAAGCAAUAACAUAUGCUGUUUUCAAGCUGUGUUUUAAUUGAACAAAUGUUGGAUGUUCCAAAUGGGUCAGAGUUGCAGCACUGUGCGGAAUGAACCCACCGAGUCUGAACCAGAGGACAGCAAUGCGAGGUAUCUCCUCGCUGCCACCAUAAAUCAUUACUUAUAAAAUCCCAACUAGUCACUUGACUGUGAGCUAUUAGGAAAAACCACAAACCACUUCAAAGCACGCAAUAGCGGUUACCCUGCUUAGCUAUCCCUUAAAGCGGUUUGAUCAGGACGAGGCAGCUUUAUCCUUCAGCGCAGUUUUAUCAGUGCGAAACACACACAGGAAUUCCGGUCUGGGAAUGACCGUCCGAUUCCUAACUUCCACAGGAAGAUUAGCAUAAAAAGCUCCCCUACAGCCACAAAUGUGUUUCAUUUCUUGCCAGUCCGCCCUGGGGUCUUUCCAAAUCCACAUCAGCACUAGGAUGUGUGUUAGAAACAGCGUCCUUGUGAACAUUUUUUUUUUUUUCCGAUAUCUGGUCACUUCAGUUGGUACACCUAUAUUCCAGAGCAGACGCACGGCGGGAUGUGCGUUAAGGCAUCGAUUCACAAAGAUAGAAGAGUCGUUUCUGCCUACAAUCAUCUCUAUGAAGCCAUUUCACGGUGCAUUAUUACUUUUGGUACGCGCUAGGCCUGCCUCAAACUCGUACCGUGAGUAAUAAUGCACAGUGGUGGUCACUGCCUGCUUCCCAGCGCCUGGACCCAGAGAGCACAAGGACUUCAACGCAGUGGACCGAGAUUCAAAUGAAAGCAUGUUGAUAUUUGCCACACCAUUUAAACACCACAUUUAUGGCAACCUUUGAUGUAUGUGCAUUAUUAAUGAAACUCAGUGCUCAAUGUGGUUUGUAGUGGACGGGGGGGGGGGGGGGAUGUGUCAAUGCGUGGAGGUCAAGUCAAAUGUUUCAUUGAAAGUGAGGAAGAAGAAUAUAACACCUAACCACCACACAGGUCCCAAAAGAUCCUCACCCGAAAAUAGCCUCCUGAUUGGAACAGAGUAUUAUUAACCCGCAUUUGUUUAUUUAUUUAUUUAUUUAUUGAGGAUCAAGGGGAGGAAGCCUUUCAAGUAUUUUUUAAUAUGGUCCCCUGUUAAUUCCAUCUCCCUCUCUUCCCUAGUAAUUUAUUUUAUUCAAGCUUCACAGCUCCGCUGUCUGGUUUGCAAUCUUCUCGCCCCAGCUGUAAAUUGCUGUCUUAAUGUCCAGCAGGAUUCCAUUUGGCUGGUUGAUUAGCUCCUCCAAGGGUCCUGAUGUGGCAGCGGAAAAAACAUCAGCCUGCUUCAUUUGCUUUCCUGUAGGCUCGGCAGAGAUCUAAACACCGAUUUUAUUUCUCAUAUGACAUGAAUAACCACACAUGAUUGAAAAGAAUGGAGAAAAAAAAACACCAGAACCUGAGUUAAAGAAUGUAAUAAAAAUAUUGCAUGGAUCAAGGAUUUGAA